UGUAAUCGAGCUUGAAAUCAUAAUCGCCAAGGAGGCUGCUGUCAAGAUUUAUAGUGAAAAAGCAAAUAUUUUGGUCUGUUCUCACCCAAAACCAAUGGGCUAUAUGCACGGUUACUUCCUGGUUUAGAUAAGCCAGCUCGGGCAUUUCCGGUCAACUGUCAUUCCUAAAGAUGUUCCUGCAGGAUCUACCUCGAGUCAACACAAAUGAUGAUGUACACCGCCUGAUUCAUUCAAAUUCAAAGACUUCAUCAAGCAAACGUGAAAGGGGCUUUAUUAUAUCCAGCUAUAUCCAUGACUACGAAGGUUGUUCUCAAAGACUCUAGACCCGUUGAGAUGUUGGCCUGUCAUUGCUCAUGUGUGGCAGGGCUUGCACUAUGCAAUCAUGUUGCAGCUUUGCUCUACCAGACCUCACAUUACAGCCAGCAUGGAGUAACGGCUGUCCCCCCCCACAGGGUCUGAGCAGCAGUGGCACAAACCUAGCAUCCAGGAGUAACUUGUACAACGGGGCCUGUGACCGGACCUGUGACCUUCCAGACAUGUCAGUUCUGUGUGUGAAUGAGAUUUACAGAGGAAUGCCAAGGGAAACUGCUCCACCCACGACAACAAUGGGAAUAGCAUUUAUUGAAUUGUUUAUUCAUAGAAUAUUCAGAGACGGGAGAGUCAUAAAAACAAUCAAACAAAAGGCUGAUUACUUUUACCUACCUAUGCUUUUGGCUUGUCAAUUUCCGUGGUUAACUUUCAAUCAGUUUUUUUUUUUUUUUUACUAAGUUCAAAUAGUUUGGUUUUCAUUACAUUUCUGAGCAGUUUUCGUGUGUUCACUAUUGUCAUCUGCCACAAAUAUAUUCUAAUACAAUAGAAUUCUAGUAUACAAUGUAUACAAAUUAUGUUAUGUUGUUGAACAUGUCAUCAUUAAUUUGUUAAAUUACAUAUUUUCCAAUAAAUGUUACUUAUGUGAGUGUUUGAGGUUAUAUAAACCUACCUAAAAAUAGAACUGUUUAAAUGCUGUUUGUAAAGGUCACAAUAAAAUACACAAUGCUUUGGAGAGCCCAUUAAAAA